CAACCCUCAAGCUCUGCUUGGCGUUGGGGAUCGGCAACCCGGCUUCGCGCCGCGCCGUCCCUCAAAUACAGUGGCGGUCACGCUGCAGCUUCCUUUGCGUAGUAGCACACCCCGCCCCGGAGAGCAGCGCGGCCACGCCGUAAAACCCCCGACUUCUUGU
rnacentral:misc_RNA from 1 species